GAUGAACGCUGGCGGCGUGCCUAAUACAUGCGAGUCGAGCGAACAGAUGAGGAGCUUGCUCCUCUGACGUUAGCGGCGGACGGGUGAGUAACACGUGGAUAACCUACCUAUAAGACUGGGAUAACUUCGGGAAACCGGAGCUAAUACCGGAUAAUAUAUUGAACCGCAUGGUUCAAUAGUGAAAGACGGUUUUGCUGUCACUUAUAGAUGGAUCCGCGCCGCAUUAGCUAGUUGGUAAGGUAACGGCUUACCAAGGCAACGAUGCGUAGCCGACCUGAGAGGGUGAUCGGCCUCACUGGAACUGAGACACGGUCCAGACUCCUACGGGAGGCAGCAGUAGGGAAUCUUCCGCAAUGGGCGAAAGCCUGACGGAGCAACGCCGCGUGAGUGAUGAAGGUCUUCGGAUCGUAAAACUCUGUUAUUAGGGAAGAACAAAUGUGUAAGUAACUAUGCACGUCUUGACGGUACCUAAUCAGAAAGCCACGGCUAACUACGUG
rnacentral:rRNA from 1 species